rnacentral:rRNA from 1 species
UGAGGAAUAUUGGUCAAUGGACGAGAGUCUGAACCAGCCAUGCCGCGUGCAGGAUGACUGCCCUAUGGGUUGUAAACUGCUUUUAUUGGGGAAUAAACCUUUCUACGUGUAGGAAGCUGAAGGUACUCAAUGAAUAAGCACCGGCUAACUCCGUGCCAGCAGCCGCGGUAAUACGGAGGGUGCAAGCGUUAUCCGGAAUCAUUGGGUUUAAAGGGUCCGCAGGCGGAUUUAUAAGUCAGUGGUGAAAGCCUAUUGCUCAACAAUAGAACUGCCAUUGAUACUGUAAGUCUUGAAUUCGGUCGAAGUGGGCGGAAUAUGACAUGUAGCGGUGAAAUGCUUAGAUAUGUCAUAGAACACCGAAAGCGAAGGCAGCUCACUAGGCCUGGAUUGACGCUCAGGG